AGUGGGUAGAACUUUGUCAGCUGCUGGAAUUCUGCUUUUCUGUAGAGAACUUGACAGCUGCAAUUUACUUACUAUGAAACAAAUUUAUAGCAGGUUAGAAGUUUAUCACAAUUGAUAACUAUUACAAUUAGAAGUCUUUUUUAGAAUGAUUUUAAGGUUGGUUAAAGUUUAAACAAUAGAAUGUGAAAAGGUAAAUAUGAGAAUCAUGGAAAGAAAACUUCAGGCAUGAGUAUCAUUAGCAUAGCCAUUGUGUAAUCUACCAUUUCUAAUAGGGAAGUUUUACAUAUCAACAAGUCUAUUUAACCUUUUGUUACACCCAUUCAAGAUGGAGACACACCCUAGGUGUGUGCAGGUCUUGUUUAGACCAACUUAGUUAAAAUAUAUUGAUUGUAAACUAAUUUUUACCUCAGACUUUAAAUGUAAGUUAAUUUUAUCUUUAUGAGAAUUACGUUGAAAACCUUUUUC